UUUCAUGAUAAAGAAUUAAGUUAAAUUUUAGAAAAUGAGAAAAUCUAAGAAAGAAGGGAAAAAACAUUCGCGCUGUUAUGCAACCAUCAUCAGGAUCCAUCUCGCAGAUUGAAACUCUGUAUCCAUUAAACAAAAGUUCCCACAGGCUUCACUCUAGGUGUACAUUCUGCAGGUUUGGACACAUGCAUAAUAACUUGUAGCCACCAUUACGGUAUCAUACAGAGUAGUUUCACUGCCUUAAAAAUCUUCCUAGUCAUUCCUCCUUCCUCCUGCCCAAACCUCUGGCAACCUGAUCUUUUUUUUUUUUUUUUUUUUUUUUUGAGACAGAGUCUUGCUCUGUCACCCAGGCUGGAGUGUAGUGAGGGGAUCUCGGCUGACUGCAACUUCCGCCUCCUGGGUUCAAGCAAUUCUCUUGUCUCAGCCUCCCGAGUAGCUGGGAUUACAGGUGCCCGCCACUUACGCCUGGCUAAUUUUUUGUAUUUUUAGUAAAGACGGGGUUUGGCCAUGUUGGCCAGGCUGGUCUAAAACUCCUGACCUCAGGUGAUCCACUCGCCUCGGCCUCCCAAGCAACCUGAUCUUUUCACUGUCUCUAUAGCUUCGCCCUUUCCAGAAUGUCAUAUAGUUGGAAUCAUACAAUAUGCAGCCUGCUCAGGCUGGCUUCUUUCACUUAGCAAUAUGCACUUAAGGCUCCUUCAUGUUGUUUCAUGGCUUGAUGGGUACAUUUCUGAUAAGGUUUGGCUGUGUCUCCGCACAAAUCUCACCUUGAAUUGUAAUAGAGCCCACCUGCCAAGGGUGGGGCCAGGUGGAGAUAAUUGAAUCAUGGGGCUGGGUUUUUCCCAUGCUGUUCUCGGGGUAGUGAGUAAGUCUCAUGAGAUCCGAAGGCUUUAUAAACGGGACUUCCUCUGCACAAGCUCUUUCUCCCACCACCAUGCAAGACAUCGUUUUGCUCUUCCUUCAUCUUCUGCCGUGAUUGUGAGGCCUCCUCAGCCAUGUGGAACUAUCGCCGAUUAGAAGUAUGAAGUUUGGGGCCAGGCGCGGUGGCUCAUGCCUGUAAUCCCAGGACUUCAGGAAGCAGAGGACAGCACAUUUACCUGAGGUCAGGAGUUUGAGACAAGCCUGGACAACAUGGCAAAACCCCAUCUCUACUAAAAAUAUACAAAAAUUAGCCGGGCAUGGUGGCAGACACCUGUAAUCCCAGCUACUUAGGAGGCUGAGGCAGGGAGAAUUGCUUGAACCUGGGAGGCAGUGGUUGUGGUGAGCUGAGAUCGUGCCCCUGCACUCCAGACUGGGCAACAGAACAAGACUCCGUCCCCCGCCCACCAAAAAAAGAAGUAUACAUAUUAAUCGAAGACCCAUUACUACUAUUUCCAGAGGCGGAGUUCAUCUGCUGUUCGAGGCGCUCCAGUUGAAAGACCAGGGAGUUCUUUUCUGUGCUGAGACUCUCCAGCAUGGUCUGUUUCUGGAUGAGAGUCUCUGUUAGCUGAUGGAGUCGAUUUUCUAA